rnacentral:lncRNA from 1 species
GAAGGAGACCUACUGAGUCCUGAGGACAACCAACAAAGGCCUUAACGGCACAGAAGGAAGUCCUGUCUUCUGGGAUUGAGUUUGGUAAUCCACCCCUUGGAGCUAAACACAGUAGUAUCCUUAGUCGUUGGGAUGGUGGGAGAGGGAGAAGAGGAAGGAUGAAGGAAAGGGCUCUUUGCUAGUAUCUCCAUAUCUAGAAGAUGGUUUAAACUCAUACCCAUAGCUCUAUAUGAGCAUUUUCAGUAAAGUGCCUGUGUUUGUUGUGGACAAGUUUUAUUAUUUUGCAACAUCUGAGCUUUAUGAAAGUCCUGGAGUGACAAUGUAUGAUAAAAAGUAGAGCUAGUGAAUUAGGCAAUUUAUUAAUAUUUUUUGUUAUAACUGAUAGAAAAGAUGCAUCUUGAACAUGGAAUUGUUAAGCCACGUCUGAGCAGUGUAUGUCAGGACUUGUUCAUUAGGUUGGCAGCAGAAGGGCAGAAUGAAGUAUAAAGGGAGAGAUGUAUGCAAAUGUGUCUAUGUUUACAUUUUGAUACUAGUCAUUGAUAUAUGUGCAACUCUUUUGGCUGUACUAUAGGAA